AACGAACGCUGGCGGCAUGCCUAACACAUGCAAGUCGAGCGAAGGCUUCGGCCUUAGUGGCGCACGGGUGAGUAACGCGUAGGAAACUGCCUAUUGGUGGGGAAUAACGACGGGAAACUGUCGCUAAUACCGCAUAAGCCCUUCGGGGGAAAGAUUUAUCGCCGAUAGAUGUGCCCGAGUCCGAUUGGCUAGUUGGUGAGGUAAUGGCUCACCAAGGCGACGAUCGGUAGCUGGUCUGAGAGGAUGAUCAGCCACACUGGGACUGAGACACGGCCCAGACUCCCGCGGGAGGCAGCAGUGGGGAAUAUUGGACAAUGGGCGAAAGCCGGAUCCAGCAAUGCCGCGUGAGUGAUGAAGGCCUUAGGGUUGUAAAGCUCUUUCGGGUGGGACGACGAUGACGGUACCACCAGAAGAAGCCCCGGCUAACUUCGUGCCAGCAGCCGCCGCCG
rnacentral:rRNA from 1 species